ACUCCGGUUGAUCCUGCCGGACCCGACCGCUAUCGGGGUAGGGCUAAGCCAUGGGAGUCGAACGCCCCGCCGCUGCGGGGCGUGGCGGACGGCUGAGUAACGCGUGGCUAACCUACCCUCGGGACGGGGACAACUCCGGGAAACUGGAGCUGAUCCCCGAUAGGCGGGGAGGCCUGGAAUGGUUCUCCGCCGAAAGGCGCCGCCGGGGGUUAUCGCCGGCGGUGCGCCCGAGGAUGGGGCUGCGUCCCAUCACGGUAGUUGGCGGGGUAACGGCCCGCCAAGCCUACGACGGGUAGGGGCCGUGAGAGCGGGAGCCCCCAGAUGGGCACUGAGACAAGGGCCCAGGCCCUACGGGGCGCACCAGGCGCGAAAACUCCGCAAUGCGGGCAACCGUGACGGGGCUACCCCGAGUGCCCCCCUCGUGGGGGCUUUUCCCCGCUGUAGGUAGGCGGGGGAAUAAGCGGGGGGCAAGACUGGUGUCAGCCGCCGCGGUAAUACCAGCCCCGCGAGACCGGGUUGUCUUCGAGUUGGCCUGGUGGGCGGACUUGGAGUGUAAUAGUCUGCUUGAGUAUCUUGCUGGAUAUGUUGAUGGAGACGGCCUCUUGUAUUUUGAUCCCAGAAGAGGAUAUGAGCUCAAAGUCACUGACCGAGAGUGCUUGCAAAUUGAUUACCUGUCGGAGAUAAUCAGGAAAUGUUUCAACACGGCCAGAUAUAGCGUCUACCGUGGAUCUCGAUACUGCUACCUACGACUAUACCGGAAGAAUGUAGUUACGGGUAUACAGAGUCUAAUUGACAGGUUAAGGGAGAACCCCACCGCCUAUUAUGUCAGUGGAUUGUUCGAUGCAGAAGGAGAUUGUACUCCUUCUAAGGUUAGGGUCCGGUUCACAAACUCCAGGAUCGAACUCAUAGAGGCCGUCCCCAAGUACCUAGAUGUAUGUGGUGUAAAAUAUCACAUAUACCUGAGAAAGAAGGAGCGCCAUACCUGGUACUCCCUUGAAAUUUAUGGGGUUAAACAGGUAGCGCGUCUGCUUGAUUGCUUAGACCUCAAGCAUCCAAAAUGGUCCGCCUGCAGGCCAACCGGGACACCCGGCGCGUAUGGUCGGGGUGCUUACUGGGCCUAAAGCGCCCGUAGCCGGCUCGACAAGUCCCCUCCUAAAGCCCCGGGCUCAACCCGGGGACUGGAGGGGAUACUGUCGGGCUAGGGGGCGGGAGAGGCCGAGGGUACUCCCGGGGUAGGGGCGAAAUCCAUUAAUCCCGGGAGGACCACCAGUGGCGAAGGCGCUCGGCUGGAACGCGCCCGACGGUGAGGGGCGAAAGCCGGGGGAGCGAACCGGAUUAGAUACCCGGGUAGUCCCGGCUGUAAACGAUGCGGGCUAGGUGUUGGGCGGGCGAGAGGGCCCGCCCAGUGCCGCAGGGAAGCCGUUAAGCCCGCCGCCUGGGGAGUACGGCCGCAAGGCUGAAACUUAAAGGAAUUGGCGGGGGAGCACCACAAGGGGUGGAGCCUGCGGCUUAAUUGGAGUCAACGCCGGGAACCUCCACCGGGGGCGACAGCAGGAUGAUGGCCAGGCUGAAGGCCUUGCCUGACGCGCUGAGGGGAGGUGCAUGGCCGUCGCCAGCUCGUGCCGUGAGGUGUCCUGUUAAGUCAGGCAACGAGCGAGACCCCCGCCCCCAUUUGCUACCCCAGGGGUGACCCUGGGGGCACUAUGGGGGGACUGCCGCCGCUAAGGCGGAGGAAGGAGGGGGCAACGGCAGGUCAGCAUGCCCCUAAACCCCCGGGCUGCACGCGGGCUACAAUGGCGGGGACAGCGGGAUCCGACCCCGAAAGGGGGAGGCAAUCCCUCAAACCCCGCCUCAGUUGGGAUCGAGGGCUGCAACUCGCCCUCGUGAACGUGGAAUCCCUAGUAACCGCGCGUCAUCAUCGCGCGGUGAAUACGUCCCUGCUCCUUGCACACACUGCCC
rnacentral:rRNA from 1 species